AUCUAGCCAUGGGCAGGUUGAAGGUUGGGUAACACUAACUGGAGGACCGAACCGACUAAUGUUGAAAAAUUAGCGGAUGACUUGUGGCUGGGGGUGAAAGGCCAAUCAAACCGGGAGAUAGCUGGUUCUCCCCGAAAGCUAUUUUGGUAGCGCCUCGUGAAUUCAUCUUCGGGGGUAGAGCACUGUUUCGGCUAGGGGGUCAUCCCGACUUACCAACCCGAUGCAAACUACGAAUACCGAAGAAUGUUAUCACGGGAGACACACGGCGGGUGCUAACGUCCGUCGUGAA
rnacentral:rRNA from 1 species